AUGUCUUUGAUCUGCGUCCUCAUCUGGACUCUCCUCUGCUUCACUCAGGGAUCUGAUGGACAAAAUAUUGUUGUGACUCAAUCAGCAGCCAGAUCAGUGCAGCUCGGUCAGACGGUCACUAUUGACUGUAAGGCCAGUAGACAAGUAGCUUGUAGCCCAUACUGUCUGUCCUGGUACCAUCAGAAACCUGGAGAAGCUCCUAAACCUCUGAUCUACUACACAUCAUCCAGAUUUUCAGGAAUCUCCUCCAGAUUCAGUGGAAGUGGAAAAGGAAAUGGAUUAGACUUCACUCUGACCAUCAGUGGAGUUCAGGCUGAAGAUGCAGGAGUUUAUUACUGUAUGAGUGCUCACUCCAUCAACAGUCAGUGGAUGUUCACACAGUGA